CCUACGGGUGGCAGCAGUGGGGAAUAUUGGACAAUGGGCGAAAGCCUGAUCCAGCCAUGCCGCGUGUGUGAAGAAGGCCUUCGGGUUGUAAAGCACUUUCAGUGGGGAAGAAAGCCUUGGGGCUAAUACCCUCGAGGAAGGACAUCACCCACAGAAGAAGCACCGGCUAACUCCGUGCCAGCAGCCGCGGUAAUACGGAGGGUGCGAGCGUUAAUCGGAAUUACUGGGCGUAAAGCGCGCGUAGGCGGUCUGAUAAGCCGGUUGUGAAAGCCCCGGGCUCAACCUGGGAACGGCAUCCGGAACUGUUAGGCUAGAGUGCAGGAGAGGAAGGUAGAAUUCCCGGUGUAGCGGUGAAAUGCGUAGAGAUCGGGAGGAAUACCAGUGGCGAAGGCGGUCUUCUGGACUGACACUGACGCUGAGGUGCGAAAGCGUGGGUAGCAAACAGGAUUAGAUACCCCAGUAGUC
rnacentral:rRNA from 1 species